CAAUGCAAUAGAGGUCGCGAUCGCCACCAACGCUAUGGAGUGUGUAUUCACUUUGAAGUAGCCGAGAGGACAUUCGCCGAAGUAAGUUUUUGAAAUACAUCAUCAACUUGCUGGGCCAGACGGGAAUACCGGCUGGACUGUCUUAGACUUGUUGUCUAAGGAGCGCUAUACGAUUU
rnacentral:ncRNA from 2 species